AGUGUAAAGAGAGUUAUUUGCAGAAAUGACUAUCCGUAAGUCCAGACCACGAUGGAAGUAGGUGAAAUAGAAGAUAUGAUAGAUUGGCAAAAUGGGGCAUCUCUGAAGGAUUUUCAUUCUCCAUGGGAAGUUGAAUAUGUUUAAUAUAAAUUUGUGAGUGGAAUAGCUAAAAGAGGUUGUGGACAAAAUGUUGUGUAAAGGGUCUUUCAGUGUCUGUGAUCUUGGAUGUGACACCAUCCUGAAGAUAAUGAUGUCAAAGGAAGUCCCUUGCCAGAUGCCAGCACCAUGCUCUUGGACUUCUGGUCUCCAGAACUGUGAGAGAGACAAAAUUUUCUUUAUAAAUUUUUUAGUCUCUGACUCUAUUGUAGUGACAGAAAACUGACUGAGUUACUCUUGCUUACUUUAUCAUCUCAACACCAAAUACUGCAUCAAUGAAUUUCCCCGACUCUCUGAUAGUAGAUCAGGAUAUGAUAUUGAGAUUGGAGGCAGAUGUGUGAAUUUUAUUCAUGAAGAGAAUUCUGCCUGGACCUACAGAUGGAAGAUUGCCAGAUAGUUCUGAGGAGAAAGUGUGCUGUGAAGCAAAAGAGGACUGCAGUCAAGGAAGACGUCUAAUGGCCCCGCUGAGGUGCUGCCAGACAGUCCAUCUGGCCAACAAAAUAUUUCUCAACUGCCUCCCCUCCCUUUCUCAGAUGUAGUGAUGGCUGUUUCCCAGAAAUCAACAUUUAUCUACUAUAAAUCUUCUGGUGGACCCACGUGAUGGAACUGGCACAGGUUUGAUCUUUCCUGGAAUCCUCCUUCAAGUGUACCUGCCACAUGGUUUCCGGACUGGACCAGCAGGAGGGAUAAAAGAGGCGGGGACAUCGCUGGAGCCGCGGGCCUGGGAACCCUAGCCCCCACUUGCCCUGAGCACUCGGAUCCUGCUGGAAACUCCAGGACAUGGGCCUCAUAUUGCGCUCCUGCAGCCUCUGCAGCCAGCUCAAACCCGGGCUGCUGCUCCUGGGGCUAUUGCUCCUAUCAGCUGUGAUCACAGUCGCCAGGAGCGAGGAUCCUUCAGAGGAUGGGGACCUUCAGUGCCUGUGUUUAAAGACCAUGUCCAAAGUCAGUGCCAAGCACAUCACCAACCUGGAGGUGAUCAAGGCUGGACCCCACUGUGCCAACACCCAGAUAAUAGCUACACUGAAGAAUGGGAGUAAAAUUUGCCUUGAAGGGGAGGUCUCCUUCUUUAAGGGAUUAGUCCGGAAACUCAUGGCAAAGUAGUUUCUACCUGGCUAAAUGUGUAUUUUGCUAUAAAACAUGUUUGGGUGGACCCCCCCACACACACCCCCACACACAUUCGCUCUAACUAAAAAAAAAAAACUUCUAAUGAUUAUAUUAACCUUCAAAUCUUAAAUAAAUAAAUCAUAUGAAUCAAGUUGUGAUUUUCUCAAAUAUUGCUUCAUAAUAGAGCAGAAAAUAGUGAUGUCAUAUCAUAUUUUCUUACAAGAAAAUACCUCCAGAAUUUUAAGAAAAAAAUGUUUUGAAGGAGGGUUUGUUUUAUAAGGACUGAAUUUGCUUGGUGCUACAUGUUUGGCUGAUAGAUAUUUGCAUGUUUAUGUGACAGCAUUACUUCAUAGAUGCAUAUUUACUUUAUGUGUUAGCUUUGUUAAUAAUAGCAUUUAAUAUGUCAAGAUCAUUGUAUUGUCUUGAGCAACUAAUAAAAAAAUAGAAUUUAAUCAUUA